CCCACAUGGACUGCUCCUGCCAGCCGGCGCCUGCUGUCUCUCCUCCCAGCCUCUGUGCUGAGGCACAGAGAUCCACGCUCCCAUCUUCCUGGGUCCUUGGGUGCAUCCAGGAGGGCUUGCAGCACUCCUACACCAUCUGCCAAAGGAGGCCGCCCUGGGAUGCUCCAGACUAUAGAUUCCCAGAUAGGCCACAGCAAGGGAAGCAGGAGAGAAGCUCGGUUUCCGACACAGUGCCUUCCAGGAGACCCACGGGAAAUGUCCAGGACCACCCAAUUCCAGCUGUUCUGCUGACUAAUGGUGACCCCGAUGCCCCAGUGGCCUGAUCCAUACAUGGGGGCAGGUGCUACCACCAUCUGAGGCUGCAGUGCCCUAGCGAAGGCACCCCGCCUGGCCCAAGAAGGAUGUGAGGAACCUGCCACACAUUAUAUUGGCCAGGCACACAAACACUGAGCCAGCAAGGACAGGAGGGUGAAGGAGACCCACCCAGCCGCAAGGAGCUGGGCACAGGGGUAUGAGGCGACAUCCCCAGUACAGCAGAUCAAGCACACGACCAGGCCCAACACAGUCUGGCCACCUGGUGCUGUCUCCACUUGGCCAAAGAAAAAGCCAAGCAAGACAAGGAACGGUCUCAGAGCACAGCCCAGCGCCCACUCUCCUGUGAGCCUCCCCGCCACCAAAACAGGGCUGGUCCCCUAUGUUCCUUCCGCAUGCCGCCCUGUCGGGAGGGCAGGAUGGGACAUGUGCACACCACACGUUUCAUCAUCAGGAGAACCACAUGGAGAACAUGCUUCUAGAAGCCUCUAUCCCUUGAACUGUCAGUUGAAGGAAGCUGGAGAUUUUUGCUCACACGACAAUAAUUGACAGUGACUUACUUCCUGAGGUCAGAGAGAGGCAACAUGAAACACGUUUUUAAAAUAUUUGGCUUAUUAGAUUUUUUGAACAAUCCUAUGCUAACAAUCCCGGCUCCCAAGUGACAGUUGAUGUUCUAAGGACUUAUGCGACCAGCCUCCCCACAAACCACAAAGCUGGUCACUUCCAGAGCCGAGACCCCCUCCCGUGUGCCCACAAAAGUGGGAACCACUCUUGUCAGGGUGGCACGGGAAAGCAAUGAGACCGUGCAUCAGCUGACACACUGGUCAGCACCAUGCGGUCAGUCUGCACCAAGGACCAGCACUUGGCACCGGAAGGGAAUGGAGUACCGAUACCACCUGCAAUGUGGAUCAAUCCCGAAAAUAUGAUGCGGAGUCAAAAAGCCAGUCACAGAACACCACAUACUGCAGGAUUCCAUGUACAGGGAGUGUCCAAAUGAGGCAAGUCCAGAGACAGAAAGGAGAUUCAUGGUUGCCUGGGGCUGUGGUGGGAACCAGAAGGGAUGGCUUAAAGGAAUAAAAAGAAUCUUUU
rnacentral:lncRNA from 10 species